rnacentral:rRNA from 1 species
UACGGGGGGUGCGAGCGUUGUCCGGAAUCACUGGGCGUAAAGGGCGCGUAGGUGGUUUGAUAAGGGUGUGGUGAAAGUCCGGGGCUCAACCCCGGAUCUGCCGUGCCGACUGUCAAACUCGAGGACUGUAGAGGCAGACGGAAUUCCGGGUGUAGCGGUGGAAUGCGUAGAGAUCCGGAGGAAGACCGGUGGCGAAGGCGGUCUGCUGGGCAGUUUCU